rnacentral:lncRNA from 1 species
AACCUUAACUGAAACCAGCAGGGGCACUUAACAACCAAAGCUGAAAGUAGUAUGAGUACUUAUACAGGUUCAACCAUACAAAGCACGCCUCGAAUAGUGUUACUUUGCGUACAUUUAACCAAGGGUGAGGCCGCCAAGCCCCAGGACAAGGCCCAGGCGCCACCCCGCGCAUCCACAACCUUCUGAAAGCGGCUUCAUCUCGCAAUGUGGUCAAUAAAGAGGAUAUUCACUUUAGAGCCAUGGAAAAGCAUGAACAUAAUCUUCUGUCCUAUUCUCCAAGAUGGACGAGCCUUCAUUAUUUGAGACCACCCAUGAAUAAGUAUCAAAAGAGUCUACAAAAAAAAAUCCAUCCUAGACUCUAAGACUUUUUCACUGAACCUAUUGCUCUCAUAUCCUACGCAACUCCAAGGCCUAAACGGACUAUAAUACUCGGUACUAACUACAAACCAUAGGGUAGCGGAAAAUCUACAGAAUUGUAACCAGAUGAUUCGUUGCGCACAUCCGAUAUAAAUGAAAGUGAUGUAUUGUGACCUUUUCUAUGGAUACUUGAACAUAAAAGGUAACUAAGAAGUGGAUAAAAUAAACAAGGGUUGUUCUAACUAUACUGCAUUGUGUAUGACAAUGCGAAAUAAGCUAUUUGAUCUAUCAUUGAUUGAUCGGAUCAAAAGAGCCUCUCUCACUACCAUAUCAAAUACUCCCUCCAUCCCGAAUUACUUGUCGCAGAAAUGGGCAGGAAUAGAUAUAUAUAAAACUAAAAAUACAUGUAGAUACAUCCAUUUAUUCGUCACGUCAUUCGGGACAGAAGGAGUGCAAACCAGCUUACUAAGACAUUGAUCCAUAAUUUAUUCAUUGCCAUGAUUCAAAACUAUAAAUACUGGACACACUAUUUCAUCACAAAAACAAAGGAAGUCAUAGCUCGUACAUCAGAAUGGGCACAACAACAACAACAACAACAACAACAACAACAACAACAACAAAGCCUUUAGUCCCAAACAAGUUGGGGUAGGCUAGAGGUGAAAUCCAUAAGAUCUCGCAACCAAAUCAUGGCUCUGGCACAUGGAUAGCAAGCUUCCACGCACCCCUGUCCAUAGCUAGCUCUUUGUCGAUACUCCAAUCCUUCAGGUCUCUCUUAACGGACUCCUCCCAUGUCAAAAUCGGUCGACCCCGCCCUCUCUUGACAUUCUCCGCAUGCUUUAGCCGUCCGCUAUGCACUGGAGCUUCUGGAGGCCUGCGCUGAAUAUGCCCAAACCAUCUCAAACGAUGUUGGACAAGCUUCUCCUCAAUUGGUGCUACCCCAACUCUAUCUCGUAUAUCAUCAUUCCGGACUCGAUCCUUCCUCGUGUGGCCACACAUCCAUCUCAACAUACGCAUCUCCGCCACACCUAACUGUUGAACAUGUCGCCUUUUAGUCGGCCAACACUCCGCGCCAUACAACAUUGCGGGUCGAACCGCCGUCCUGUAGAACUUGCCUUUUAGCUUUUGUGGCACUCUCUUGUCACAGAGAAUGCCAGAAGCUUGGUGCCACUUCAUCCAUCCGGCUUUGAUUCGAUGGUUCACAUCUUCAUCAAUACCCCCAUCCUCCUGCAACAUUGACCCCAAAUACCGAAAGGUGUUCUUCCGAGGUACCACCUGGCCAUCAAGGCUAACCUCCUCCUCCUCACAGCUAGUAGUACUGAAACCGCACAUCAUGUACUCGGUUUUAGUUCUACUAAGCCUAAACCCUUUCGAUUCCAAGGUUUGUCUCCAUAACUCUAACUUCCUAUUUACCCCCGUCCGACUAUCGUCAACUAGCACCACAUCAUCCGCAAAGAGCAUACACCAUGGGAUAUCUCCUUGUAUACCCCUUGUGACCUCAUCCAUCACCAAAGCAAAAAGAUAAGGGCUCAAAGCUGACCCCUGAUGCAGUCCUAUCUUAAUCGGGAAGUCAUCGGUGUCGACAUCACUUGUUCGAACACUUGUCACAACAUUAUUGUACAUGUCCUUGAUGAGGGUAAUGUACUUUGCUGGGACUUUUUGUUUCUCCAAGGCCCACCACAUGACAUUCCGCGGUAUCUUAUCAUAGGCCUUCUCCAAGUCAAUGAACACCAUAUGCAAGUCCUUCUUAUGCUCCCUAUAUCUCUCCAUAAGUUGUCGUACCAAGAAAAUGGCUUCCAUGGUCGACCUCCCAGGCAUGAAACCAAACUGAUUUUUGGUCACGCUUGUCAUUCUUCUUAAGCGGUGCUCAAUGGCUCUCUCCCAUAGCUUCAUUGUAUGGCUCAUCAGCUUAAUUCCACGGUAAUUAGUACAACUCUAAAUAUCCCCCUUGUUCUUGAAGAUUGGUACUAAUAUACUCCGUCUCCAUUCUUCUGGCAUCUUGUUUGCCCGAAAAAUGAGGUUGAAAAGCUUGGUUAGCCAUACUAUCGCUAUGUCCCCGAGACCUUUCCACACCUCAAUGGGGAUACAAUCAGGGCCCAUCGCCUUGCCUCCUUUCAUCCUUUUUAAAGCCUCCUUCACCUCAGACUCCUGGAUGCGCCGCACAAAACGCAUGCUGGUCUCAUCAAAAGAGUCUACAAAAAAAAAUCCAUCCUAGACUCUAAGACUUUUUCACUGAACCUAUUGCUCUCAUAUCCUACGCAACUCCAAGGCCUAAACGGACUAUAAUACUCGGUACUAACUACAAACCAUAGGGUAG